GCUGGAGAUCUCUGCAUACUGGAGGCCUUCUGAAGGAAGGAAAAAAAUACAGUGUAUAUGGUUUUCAAGAGUGACUGCUGUUUUGAUGAAGACAUGGAUAACUGCUUUUAUUCUGAAGUGUGGACUUCUGUACAGUUAUAAAGAGGGAAGAGAGAAUUCCUGAGUUGCUCCAAAAAUGUAAAGCUGGAUCAGCAGUAAAAGAUGUUGAAGCAGCAGCAUUUCCCUGAGAAGCGGCCAACUUAGAAGUGGAAUAUGGAUUAGUGUCAUCAGGAGCAGCAGCAAGAGCUGCACAGGCAGUCUGAUGGGGCACCUUCCUAGCACAUCACAUUGCAGCUGAACAGCUGAGCCACUCAGAAUAUCGCAGCUGAAAAAUUUUGUCCAGAUUUGCACCCUCUACACUCUGAAUUUAUACAGGUUACUGAAUAAAGAUGAAUGAAUAUCUUACAUAGUUGGUAUAAUUUUGAUCUUCAUAAAAUAAAAAUGUAGUUCUACUACUGUAUGCAGCAAUGGCAUGAACUACAGUUUGAAAUUCCAUAGAGUAUCUCUGUAGAAGUUUAAUCUCUUGUUGGGAAAGGAAAAUAAAAGCUCCUCUUAAACAAUCCUGUCAAUCUUUUCUUCAAAUUCUGCUGUAAUUGGGAAAACUGUAGCUGGAAAGUCUCUAAUGUAUUCAGAUACAAAUGGGAAACACUCAAUUAAUUUUCUCUUUUAACAUGUAAUCUAGUGAUUACCUAAAUAGCAUCAUUAAUUGUAAACUAACAUGAAAUGUGCUAGAAAUUAGUCUUCAACCAUAAAUUCUGUGGUCACAUUCAUUUCUGUCUCUAUGUUUAAAUGGCUGUAUUCAGCAAGACUGCAGGGAGUUCAUGUAUCCACCUCUCUCAGUGGAAACUGAAGAGCAAAUUUAAAAGUUAUGAAGGCACUGAUUACUGAAUUACUUAUAGUCUGACUGCAAAGACUAUUUGUCUUCAGAAAUGUGAAAUAUCAACCAACAUUUAUACCUUAAGAUUUCAGAGUGGCAGAAGAUGUUGAAGUUGCAUGUACUCACUAAUGUAUUUUGUCAGUUCAAAAAUACUCUGGGGAAGUAUAGGGCAAAGUGACAUCGCUUUAGUAGGCUCAGUUAAAAUAAAUAAAUAAAUAAAUGC